AAUGUCGAGAAAACAGUAAUCCAUAACUUCCUCAGUUUGUUUUGCUAGCUCAUGGUGAUGGAGAUUGCAGAUGUUUCACUCUCUUAGGGGUUGUCUAACCAUCCGCGCUUCUCAGGCGGGCAAUUAAUUCAUCCUUCUUUCCUCUGAGCGAGAGGCCUUUAGCCUUGAGAAGGGCACGCAGCCUCUCUACAGUCAAAUUCUGUAGAUCCUUACUCGGUGUUUCAUUGUUUGAUGCCCCUUUGGUAGAACAUACUUGUGCAGCCCUCUUUGCUUUGCUAUCUGAAAUUUUUUCGCCAGCCCUCUUUCGAGAUGACUCGGCUGCAG
rnacentral:misc_RNA from 1 species